rnacentral:lncRNA from 1 species
GGGGGCCGUGUAAGGUUGUAAGAGUCAGUCACGAGGGGUGGAGUGUUGCAGGAGGUCAUGGAGAGGACGACUGCCAGUUAACCGGCAAACUAGACUCGGGCAUCAGAGGCUCCUCACCAUCUCCACCUGGACCGAAUGUGUGACCGAACCCACUUAAGGCCUCUGGAUAAGCUUUUAAGAUUCUGGCGGGCAUGGGAGGAGAGCCACUCGUCUUGCAGCCGCCGAAGACCAGUCUCAUAGUUCUAGACUGGAGGAGAAGAUGCUGAGAAGUAGCAUGAUGUAUGGAAUCACAAGAAUCAGAUGUGAAGUCAGUUGAAUUUGGAUGUGAGUCCUUUUUUCAUUACUUUCUAGCUGUGUGACCUUGGGUGAGUUACCUAACUUCUCUGACCCUUAUUUUCCUGAAAGUUGUAAAAUGGGUACAAUAAGCUCAAAUGAGAUAAUCUAUAUAAAAACAAGUGGUACAACUACAAAUAUUAGUUGUUAGUAUCAAAGAUGACAUCCAACGUUAGGCCCAUUUCCUCUUUUCCUGGAGAAGAAAAUAGGCCAAGGACCUUGUUGCCUUUCUCUCUUUUUUUACACUCCAAGGAGGGCACACUGGACACCUGAACCAAUUGAGGUCAUAAAGUGACCAUGAUGUACAGAUAUGGCCCGAUUGCCCUGGAUCCUAAAUUGUCACACUUAAGGGUACAUAUAUAUGCCAGUUGGGUGAAUUGGUACAUUUUUCCAAACGCACACAGCUACUCAAAUCUAUAGAGGCUUCCAUCUUUGGUGUUUGACGAUAUUCAUUUUCUCUAACUCAGGAGGCUUCUAAAUGCUGCCUUUAGGUCCAUGCUGACGGCGAGCUUCAGAGGCAGCCCAUUUUGCAGAAAGGGCCUUGGGAAUUUUGCUCAGUUUCCUUCCUUAGGUGGACCCAAGGUGCCAGACCUGGAUGUGACUUUAUCUUUCUUGGCAUCUUUAUGAUGAGGAGGAUUGAGUACAUGUCAGUGCUUCCCUUCAAUCUGGCUGCGGAUCUGCAGGGGAUUAGAAACACCAGUCAAGCUACUGUUAGGACCAAAUGUACAAAAUGAUGACUUUCCACUUCCCCUCAUUUUGUUUUCCUUUUUGUUUCUCGUUAUGCAAAUUCCAGAAAAUUGAUCAUGCAUUAGGACAGGAUGAGCAGGGCUUUUUGGUCAGUCUUUAAUUCUUCUGUGUUAGAUGUCCAAGCACAUAGCCUGGCACUGUAUUUUAAUGUCUUGAGAAGAAGGGGCUUGAAUAGAUUCCAGAAUAUCUCUGAUUUAGUGAGGGAAACAUGUCAGGCCAAGAAUGUUUCAGAAUACCAGGCCGAGGACAGAAUACUUCAAUCAGUCACUCCAGGAAAGAGGGGGAGUAGCCUUCUCAUAAGAGUUUAAAGACUGAAACUCUUUAAACAAGUAAAGCAGAGAACUUUCCUUCUGAUGUUCUCAUUCUUUACUUUUCACUAACCCAUAAGAAAAAUCUAGCUUUAAGUAAACUUAAUUCCUCAUUGAAUUUUUCCCCUGAAAACCCAUUGCCAGAUCAUUUUGGGGUGGAUUGAGUCAAUAAUGCUCUGCUUCUUUUCGCUCUUCUCCCAUUUAAAAACAUUCCCCCUCAAGCCCAACUAUUUGACCCACAUCUACACCUAUCAGUUAUCAACAAUGUAAUAGGAGCUGGGCACGGUGCUAGAAGCAUUUAUCACACAUUAUCCUAUUUUAGUCUCACAGUAAUUGUGAGCACAUAUGCUACUAUUAUCCCUAUUUUAUAGAAAAGGAAAUUGAGGUCUAGAGAUUAAAUAAAUUGCCCAAGGUCCCUUGGCUAGUAAGUGGUAGAGCAGUGAUCAAUUCCUAGAGCGCCUUUCAGUCAAGAUGCUAAGACGUACGUGGUCCCUAAUUAGGAGGAAACUAAAAAACCUAGUUUGAUGGCGCAGGUGACAGUUCCAACUCAACUUCACUGUACUGGCCUUGCUUCAAUUUCACAUUUCUGCCUUGUUUGUGCAAUCGUGCUUUGUUCCUCAAUUUUGUGUCAUAUUUCCUAUAAAUGUGUUUCUAUCUUAUUCUCUAUACCAGGGGUUCUCAACAGUGACAUUAUUUUGGGCCAGAUAAUUCUGUGUUGUGGGACGCUGCUCUGUCCACUGAAGGGUGUUUAGCAGCAUCCUGGGCUCUACCUGCUGGGUGCCAGUAGUACCUUCCCGAGAUAUAACAAAAGUGUCCCCAGACAUUGCUAAGUGUCCCCAGUGGGGGAAAUCGCCCUUGGUUGGAAACCUCUGCCUUCUAGCCACAUCCCUGGCUGGGUGGCCUGCUGAUUACUUUGUCCUGCCCAGACUGUGACUGUUGUUGGGUCAGUCUUCACUAAAUACUAGCCCUGAAUGUCAAUCCCGUGCCUGGACCCUCUUAGUACCACAACUCCCUGAGGUCAGCUGUUCGCUGGAAUCUCUGCCUGUUUUCUGGGUCUAGACUCUGUCCUUUGGAUAUAUACCUGCUGUCCACCUUCCAGCAGCCACCUAACUUGAUGACAAAUUCUUAAUAGAUACUGUGUUCUCUGAUUCUGUGCAAAGCUCCCUGAAUGGACUUCCUCUGACUGCCCCCAGCAGCUCCGUCACAUCUUGUCUGUCAUCUCUCCCAGUUUCUUCUAUUGUAUUGGUGACUGAGCCCGGAGUCUCUGCUCUGAUAUAAGCUUUGUCUCUUUGAGGGCUGCUGUUCUAGUUAGUUUCAAUUAACUCUCCACUUUGAUCCGUGAAUGUAUUUAAACUUGCAUCUUUCAUACAGUCGAGAUUUCCUGUUCCUUGGGAAAUAGGUAGGUUCUCAAGUCAGUGGGCUAGGCAAACACUUAUAUAAUCAAAUUUUCUCUUGAAAAUUUCCUAUGAAAUAGCUAGCUGAUGAUUGAAAUUUUCUUCUUUCAGUAAGUCCAACCUGGUCAUAAUUUUCUCCAGCAGUGGGACACACUCUUGGAAUUUAAUUUGCAAAGAAUGGAUUUUUAAAUACUAAAAUUAUAUUCAUCAUGGCAAGAUACUUAUACUGUGAGAGCAUUUGGGAACCAAGACUGAAUAACCAAGAGUAUUUUCACCACUUGCCCCUCACACUCACUCUGCACAGGACACUGGCUCCUAAGUGGAGCGGGGGACAGAAUCACAUGGCAUUGUUCGUGUGGUUUCUCUCUCCCUUCUUUUGUUUUUGUUGUUGUUGUUGAAUAUGAAUAUUAUAUGUUAAGGUGCCAUUCUAUUAUAGUUAAAUAUUUGCUGGGAGCCGUGGAAUAGAAGGAAAUGAUAAAGGAUUUGCUAAUGCACACCAACAUUCGUCAAACAGUGGUUUUCAAACCCUCUUGCAAGGAACCCUAGGGGUUCUUCAGAGAAAUUUCAGGGCUGUUGUGGGGAGCACAGUGCUUAGUUCAAUAAUAGAAGUUCUGCUUUCUUUUCUGCUUUUUGAAUUUUUGUGUAUGAUUUAAUUCGAAGAAUAGGUUCAAGAGCUAAAAAAAAAUUAAAUUAUGCAAAGUGCUGGGACUCAGAGCCACAUUGUUCAUGCUUAUAUUCUUAAUAAUUUAUUUGUUUUUGAUUAAUGGUUUGAUUCAUGUGCACACAUACACACAUAUAGUAGUUUCUAAGUAUUUUAAAAAGAAAAUGUAAUCAUACUUUAUAUUCUAAAUCUAUAACUUUCUUUAUGUAACAAUUUAUCAUGGUCAUCUUUGCAUAUUAGAACAUGUAAACUUCUCUCUCUUAAAAAUGAUUUUGUGACAUUCAGUAUAUGAAGGUACCAUAAUAGGCUUCACCAUCUGUCAGAUAAUUAAGUAGUCUCACAAAAUUUAUUAUUUCAAAUAAUACAGCAAAAGUUUUCCCUAUAUUCAGUAUUUCUUCAGGAUAUAUUCUGAGAAAUAGAACUUAAGGAUCUAAGGUACACACAUUUAAAGUUUUCAUACAAACUGCCAAGUUACCAUUCAUAAAGAGGGAUCUCAUUUAAAUUUUACCAAUAGUAUGAGUCUUUCCUACACCAAUACCCUCACCAACAUUUAUUAUUAAUAAUCAAUUUAUGUUCUGCUAAUCAAGUGAGUGAAAAAUAUUUUAUUUUCAUUUAAUUUCCCUGAUCGUUAGUGAAGUUUAUCAUCUUGUCAAAUAUUUACUAGCCAUUUAUAUUCUCUGAAUUGCUUUUUCACAUACUUAGUUCAUUUUUUUCUGCUUGGUUGCUUAACUUUUCACACUGAUUUUAAGAAGCCGUUUUCUGAAUACUGUUUCCCCAGUUGCUUGUGUUGUAGAUCUCGUAUUACAGUCUGAAGUUCACCUUCUAACUUUGAUUACGGUUUCUUUAACUGUGCAGAAGUAAAUAUUUAUGUACUCAAGUUUCUCAUUCUUUUCCUGUCUGACUAUAGGGUGAUGUGUUUUGCUUAGGAAGGUUUUUCUUGUUAUAAUAUCUUGAAAAUACCCUUAAAAACAGCAUUUAAAUAAAAAAUUUUGUUUAGACAUUGCUUUUGCAUGUGGUAAGAAUCUGACUCUAUUUUCCCCAAAUAUACAGCCUAUUUUUAAGACUGUCUUUUGAAUAAUUCAGCAUUUCCUUAUUCUGUUCACAUGCCACAUUUCUCCUCUAUUAAAUUUCUAUAUAUAAUUGUCUACUUCUGAACUCUGUAUCUUGCUUAUUCAUCUAUUUAUUAUUGUACCAAUUGAAAAGUAUUUCAAUUAAUUUAAAGUAUGGUAAAUUUCCUACUCACUGUUCUUUUUUGUAAAAUUUUUAAAUUUUUAAUUUUUCCUUCUUCUCUCCAAAGCCCCUCAGUACAUAGUUGUAUAUUUUUCAGUUGUGGGUCCUUCUAGUUGUGGCAGGUGGGACGCUACCUCAACAUGGCUUGGUGAAUAGUGCCAGGUCUGCACCCAGGAUCCGAAUUGGUGAAACCUUGGGACCCUGAAGCAGAGCACGCAAACUUAACCACUCAGCCACGGGGCUGACCCCUCACUGUUCUUUUUAAAAUUGUCAGCUCUUUUCUAAAUUUUUUCUUCUAGAUGAAUGUUAGAGUAUGUCAUACAUGAAAAAUAUUCAGUUGGAUACAGGUCAAAAUGAUAUUUAAAUUAUAGAUUACUGUGAGGGAAUUGAUAGUUUUUAAAUAUUGAGUUUUCUUACACAGAGGUAUGCCAUCUCUCUCCAUUUAUUCUGGUCUUUCUCUUAGUAAAGUUUUCUUCAAAUAGGUAUUGAACAUUUUUGUUAGUUUUAUAAUUUUUGUUGCUAUUGUGAAUUGGAUCUCUAAAAACACAUUUUCUAAUUGUUUAUUCCAAUGGAUGCUAUUGAUUUUUGUAUAUUUAUUUUGUAUUCAGUCACAUGCCUUAAUAGCUAUUCACAUUUUUCAGAUGAUGCUUUUGGAGCCAUUUGAUUCUUAGAGAACACAUUUAGGUCUGAUGUGGGAUGAGUUACAAAAUGGUUAUCAAUACCCACUUGGUCGCUAACUCUUUAACAAUAGAUGGUGCAGCCAUGCAUCACACCAAUGGCAGCAGCCCCACCUCAGGCAUUUUCUCAGGCCUCCCUGCUGUUUGCCUGCACUAGUUCCACCUCAUGCUUCCCUGUCUCAUCCCUAUCCUGGCUUCUGUUCUCAACUUUGUUUAGGUAGCCCAUUAGGAUCCUAUACCCCAAUUGCACCUCUGUCUACACCCUUGGCUUCAGCGUACCUCCACAUCUAAGUAUGAGAUGAUCCCUCUACCAGCCUCAGCUCCUCAGAACCCUGUCCUCCUCUCCCACAACUGGGCUAGCCAAUUGAAAGUGUAGCAGUGAAACUAAACAGCCCUAUCUUGCUAUUUUGUUUUUCCGAAUUCAUCCACAGAAUGGUUUAACAAUAAUAGUAACUUAAUUCUAAUCGAGCACCUGCUAGGUGCUAAGCAUUUUACUAGGUUCUAGGGAAAGAGUUGCGAAUAUUGCGGACAUGCUAUCUAUUCUCAGGGAGUUGUAUUCUAUGAAGAGUCCAACAUGAAAGGGAAGUCUUCCAUACUUUUCCAGGGGUCCUUGUUAGUGCUGGGAUUCUCCAGGUCUUCAGGCCCUUCUACCAUCUCCCAGGGAGCAUUUGCCUUCACUUCUGCUGUCAGCGUUUGGGGCAGUGAAGAGUUAAAACCAAAUGGGAGCAAACUGUGUUUAUUAAAAAGAAACAAGAAACCCUACUGAAAGUUUGCAAUUCUGUACAACUUUGUUAUAGUAUUUAUGCACAUGAUCUAUCUUUAUGUAUAGUUAUUAUUUCCCCUACUUGUUUGUAAAUUCCUUUAGGAGCAAGAACUUAGCUCAGACACUUUCAUUCUUUAGAGCAGAGCCAGGACUCUUGCACAGAGUUGAUGCUCAGCAUUUUUUGUCUCUUUGGAUGGAGUAACUUGAUAAUAUCCCUCAGACUCUUAUUUCAUCUCAUUUAAUUGGUUUCCUAAGGCACUUCAAGUGACAACACACUGCACCUUCCUUGAGGACUGGGGAAAAAAAAAGCAAAGGAAAAAAUGGGCAUGCGAAGUGAAGAUGGCAGCAAUUGUGGUCUUGGGUGGCAUAUUUUGUUGUGUUAAAUGAGAGAACUCACUCUCAUCUGUGGUUUGCUAAUUAUUGUUUUUUUUUUCUUGCAGAACAAAGAAAUGCAGAAUAUCAGUGUUACUCCAAAUAUAGAAAUCUACUCAAUAGCAUUGUCAAAAGUGAGAAAGAUCAGCCCUGAGCUAACAUCUGUGCCAACCUUCCUCUGCUUUAUAUGUGGGAUGCUACCACAGCAUGGCUUGAUGAGUGGUACAGAGCAAUUCACAUGGUCUCAAGCCACAAACAUUACCUCAUAAAUGGCACCAUGCAAAUGUGUCAACAAAAUUCGACCUACUCAAAUCGGAUCUUAGAAUAACAGCUGCUGGUGCUCUGGCUCAAGAAGCAGAUGUAAGACCACCUACGGUACAGCUCGGAAAGCUUCCUGUCAGUAUGAAACUGGCAUGGGCUUCCCCCAAGGUGCCAAAUAAUGCAGCAGAUAGAGCAGCAACAUGAAGAUAAAAUGUUAAUAUGAUUUACUUUCCGAAAGCACUUGGGUUAGUGCCAGAGAAACAAAUUAAUUAUAAAACAACCACUCAAACCAAAGCGUUCAGCCUGCAGCAAAUAUACCAGGGGCUGUUUCUGAACACUUAUAUUUUUCUGUUUAUGGAUUAACAGGCUGUGAAAAUCCCCAGGGAUGGAGGAAGGGAGGAGAUAGUGUUGGUUUCAUCCAUUGUAGGACAGCCCUUUGCAUCUGUUUUUACAAGAAAGAACAUGUAAUAUAAACUGUAUGUGGGUGUGCUUGGGGAGGGUGGGGGGCACUGUUUAAGAGUGGAAAAUUGAGAGGGCCGUCAAACAUGGAGGGAGCGCCUGAGUCAGGGAGGUCCAAAGUUUUAUUGCCUGAGAACCGUAUAACCACUGC